rnacentral:rRNA from 1 species
UACGGGGGGAGCAAGCGUUGUUCGGAUUUACUGGGCGUAAAGGGCGCGUAGGCGGUCAGCACAAGUCAGUUGUGAAAUCUCCGAGCUUAACUCGGAAAGGUCAACUGAUACUGUGCGACUAGAGUGCAGAAGGGGCAACUGGAAUUCUCGGUGUAGCGGUGAAAUGCGUAGAUAUCGAGAGGAACACCUGCGGCGAAGGCGGGUUGCUGGGCUGACACUGACGCUGAAGCGCGAAAGCCAGGGGAGCAAACGGG